rnacentral:rRNA from 1 species
CUAGGCUUGACAUCCCUUUGCAAAGCCCUUAACCGGGCUCCUCUUGUUCGCAAGACAAAGGUGACAGGUGGUGCAUGGUUGUCGUCAGCUCGUGUCGUGAGAUGUUGGGUUAAGUCCCGCAACGAGCGCAACCCCUAUUUUUAGUUGCCAUCAGUUCGGCUGGGCACUCUAGAAAGACUGCCGAGGACAACUCGGAGGAAGGUGGGGAUGACGUCAAAUCAUCAUGCCCCUUAUGCUUAGGGCUACACACGUGCUACAAUGGCUGUUACAAAGGGCUGCGAGACCGCGAGGUGGAGCCAAUCCCAUAAAAACAGUCUAAGUUCGGAUUGUAGGCUGAAACUCGCCUACAUGAAGCCGGAGUUACUAGUAAUCGCAGAUCAGAAUGCUGCGGUGAAUGCGUUCCC